rnacentral:rRNA from 1 species
CCAAUAGCGUAUAUUAAAGUUGUUGCAGUUAAAAAGCUCGUAGUUGAAUUUCGGGGUUCUACCGUUGGUCGGGCUUUGUCUGUACUGGCGUGUAGAAUUUCUACCUUCUGGAGAACCAUCAUGUUAUUAAUUUAACGUGGUGGGAAACCAGGACCUUUACCUUGAAAAAAUUAGAGUGUUCAAAGCAGGCUUAUGUCUGAAUACAUUAGCAUGGAAUAAUAAAAUAGGACGGUGGUCCUGUUUUGUUGGUUUCUGAAUCACCGUAAUGAUUAAUAGGGAUAGUUGGGGGCAUUAGUAUUCAAUUGUCAGAGGUGAAAUUCUUGGAUUUAUUGGUGACUAACCUCUGCGAAAGCAUUUGCCAAGGAUGUUUUCAUUAAUCAAGAACGAAAGUUAGGGGAUCGAAGACGAUCAGAUACCGUCGUAGUCUUAACCAUAAACUAUGCCGACUAGGGAUCGGACGAUGUUAAUUUUUCUUGACUCGUUCGGCGCCUUACG